GUUCCGCCUAUUAUUUUACUUUUAUUAUGUUGGUGUAUAUCUGAUUUAAUAUUAUUGCUUAAUGGUUAAAGUUUGUGUAUAUUUAUUUAAGUCAAGUCUAUGUGCUGCUUAUAAAAGUAUUCAUGCGUUACUUUAAUAAUAUGUUAGAUGAAAUAUUAAUUGAUUUAGGACUUAAUAGUAAUGUUUAAUUAAUUUGUAAAUGUGAAUAUAGUUUAGCUCAUGUACACACCGCA
rnacentral:rRNA from 1 species